GUCUGAGAGAGUAGAAGUUAAUAGGACAGAAGGGUGGGAUUCGUUCCAGGCAGAGAAAACAGCAGGUGCAAAGGGCCUGUGAUUACCUUGGCCAGUGCAUUUGAAACAGAGAGAAUAAGGAGGAGGAUGGGACCAGAGAGGGAGGAAGGACCGGACCUCACAGGACUUUAUGGGCCAUGCUAAUAAGAGUUUGGUCUUUAUUGCAAGAGCCACUGGAAGCUGUUGAGAGAUUUCAGCAGGGCCAGACCAAGCAGGACCAGAGGAGGCAACAAAUGCCCUUCCCUCGUCCUCCCUCCCUCCCAGCCACUGCUCCAGAGCUUCGGCCCUCUUAUAAGCGCCCAACUCUUCGUCCGCUUUCUUCACCAGCUCCACGCACAGCUGUGCGGAUGAGGCUCUCAGAGGAGCAGUCCCUCCACCCCGCAGCCUGGGCCCGGCUACUGCAUGAACGGGCAUCUGGCUCCCCCUCGUGGUGACAUCAGCACAUUGGCGCGCUAGGUCAGCUCGGAGCUGCCGGGGCCAGAGGCAGGGCUAUGGCCGGCGUCCUGGUCGAGAGGUCAGGAAGUGUGUGUCCAGUCCUGGCCAGUGACUCACUCUACAACUGUGCGCUGUUCCCCUGACCUGUAUGUGCUCCGAUUUCCUUGCCUGCAAAUUAGGGUUAGUGAUCUGGGUGAGGCUUUCCUUGGCUAACACAUAGAGUUUUUAAAAGAGUUUUGUUAGUUUGAAGAACCCCUCUCCCUAACUUGAGGUGCCUUGACAUCCAGUGGCCGCUCAACAACACUCCUGUGUGCUACCAACCCCUUCCGUAAACCACUCCAUUUCGGGACAGCCACAUUAGACAUACUGCCAUUGGACUUCCCUGGUGCCUCAGACAAUAAAGCGUCUGCCUACAACGUGUGAGACCUGGGUUCAAUCCCUGGGUGGGGAUCUCCUGGAGAAGGAAAUGGCAACCCCACUCCAGUACUCUUGCCUGGAAAAUCCCAUGGAUGGAGGAACCUGGUAGGCUGCAGUCCAUGGGGUCACAAAGAGUCAGACAUGACAGAGCAACUUCACUUUCACGUAGCCAGAAUAUGGUGAUGCAUGGGGCCAGGUUGGUACUGUCAGGGCACUCCGUUGGAAGGAUCAGGCACGGAAUGGAUGGAAAUACAAAGGAGAAAUAUUUGAUCCAGAUCUCAGGGCCGGCUACUUGGGGCUUGAGAAUCUCCUUUAAAA
ensembl:lncRNA